rnacentral:rRNA from 1 species
ACCCGCUGAACUUAAGCAUAUCAAUAAGCGGAGGAAAAGAAACCAACAGGGAUUGCCCUAGUAACGGCGAGUGAAGCGGCAACAGCUCAAAUUUGAAAUCUGGCUCUUUUAGAGUCCGAGUUGUAAUUUGCAGAGGGCGCUUUGGCUUUGGCAGCGGUCCAAGUUCCUUGGAACAGGACGUCACAGAGGGUGAGAAUCCCGUACGUGGUCGCUGGCUAUUGCCGUGUAAAGCCCCUUCGACGAGUCGAGUUGUUUGGGAAUGCAGCUCUAAAUGGGAGGUACAUUUCUUCUAAAGCUAAAUAUUGGCCAGAGACCGAUAGCGCACAAGUAGAGUGAUCGAAAGAUGAAAAGCACUUUGGAAAGAGAGUCAAACAGCACGUGAAAUUGUUGAAAGGGAAGCGUUUAUGACCAGACUUGGACUUGGUUAAUCAUCUGGGGUUCUCUCCAGUGCACUUUUCCAGUUCAGGCCAGCAUCAGUUUUCGCCGGGGGAUAAAGGCAGCGGGAAUGUGGCUCUCUUCGGGGAGUGUUAUAGCCCGCUGUGUAAUACCCUGGUGGGGACUGAGGUUCGCGCUUCUGCAAGGAUGCUGGCGUAAUGGUCAU